GGUGCCGAGAGCCUGCCCGGUGCCGAGAGCCGGCCCGGCCCCGUCGCCGAGCGGCCGCCGAAGCGCCGCGCUCCGGAGCCGCCCGGGCAGGAGUCGCCGGCCAAGAUCUUCCAGCGGAUGAAGGCGCGGGCGGAGCAGCAGCGCAGGGUGGCCAGGGACGUGAUCCUGAGCCCCGCGGCCCCGCAGCACCCGCACGGCACGGCCCGGGCGGCGGGCAGCGCCCGGCCGGGACCAGAGCCAGUUUUGCCCCAGACUCCCAGGACGGAGCCCCAGGAAGUGCCCCCAGCAGAGCCUCUCUUGCUGGAAACCCCCCAGAAGUUCUUCCUGCGGGUGAAGUGGCAGCAGCAGCAGCAGCAGCAGCAAGCUAUACCACCUUCAACCAAAACCCAGCAGAACGUUCCUCCUUCCACAACUGUAGGGAAUCCUUCAGUCCAACGUGCUUGUGCUGAGCAGCCAGGGAAUGAGCCUGCAGAGGCUGUGGACUCUGAUAAGGACGAUGUGGAUGUUUUUGUGGUGGAAUCUGUUGAAGUAGAUGCUGAUGAAGACAUGUCUCAAUGUACAGUGGCUACUCCUUUGCCAGUGAACUUCAGCCCUUGGGAAAACGGGGGUCGGGUAAAAGGAACGUGGGGAAAUGGAGAAGCAAAACAUACAGAGCUUCAUGAGGACAGGAGAGAGCUGCAGCCCAGCAAAAAACCAGCUGCUCCAGCAGUGGAAAAGGCACCAGAGACUAAUCCUGAAAACCCCUCCCAGCCCUUCUGUAACAUCUUGCUCUCCUCUCCAGUCCAAAUUCCAAGGAAGCAGAAGCGGGCAAAAGACCCCAAGGUCCCUUUGGAUAAACCUCCUGCUGAUCAACCUGCUGGCAAUGCACACAAAGAGAAAAACAUCUGCCUGAGCAGCUGGAGGAUUAAAGUGCUGGCUGGAAACACGGCAAUCUGUGUGGAAGGGAAAAGGAAGGACAUGAAGCAGCUGCUGUGGCACAGCAGCGCCGUCACGGAGCGCGUCACUCACAGCCAGGUGCAGACCUGCUCGGGAACUGUCUACCUGCUGCAGGGCAAGAUAGACUCAGCUGCCAUGAGGAAGGAAGGCUUCCCCUACCGCUUCAUCAAGAAAUUCACAUUCGGCUUCUCCAGAAGGUGGAAGGAGUACGUGGAGGAGUUUCUUGAGGAAAGGAGGAGGAAAGAACUAGUUCAAGAGAGUGGUGGGGAGACAAAUGAGAACAGUGACUCUGUGGAGGGACCUGAUGUGUUGGAAGCUGCAGGAGACUCAGCGAGCAAAGCAAAGAAACCUGCACUGAGGAACGCCACCUAUGAGGUGUCACCAGAGAGUCAUGAGAACGUCUUCAUAACACCAAAUCAGAGGCCCAGGAGAAGCUCGAGCAGUGUCUACACUCGCAGCGGGCGCCGUGUCAAACCCCCCCUGAACUUCUGGUGUGGACAGAGGGAGUUUGUGGAUCAGGAUCUGAAUGUCACCGUACAAAAUGGAUGGGUGGAUCAUCUGAAUGGGAUGCUUAGUAGUGAAAAACCCAAAAGAAUGACCAGGUUCAUCUCCAAGAAUAAUCCAAAGGAAGGCAUGAAGACAAGAGGGGAAAUGCCAAAAAGCCAAAGUAAAGGGAAAAGCAGCGAGAGAGGAGCCGCUUCCAGAGCGGGGCCGGGCAGCAGGAGGGACAGGCGCGUCCUUUCGGACAACGAGGAGCGUGGCCCUGGAAUCAGGGGCACGAGCACCAAAUGCCAGCUCCCUGCCAGGGGGGCUUCCCUAGAGACCGAGGUGCUGAGCAAGCGCGGCAGCAGGGCCCCGAGGGCGGCAAGGAGAGCGGCAGGCUCUGGGGAGCCCGGCGGGCACAGGGACUACAGGAGCUGCCUCCGGUCGGCCAAGCAGCGCCGCCCGGGGAACGAGAGGGUUCUCGUCAGCCAGGAGUCCUCGGAGGAUGAGGAGGAGCAGUCCAGUGAGGACACCCCACUGCUGAUCAGGAGGAGAAAGAAAUCUGUGUUAAAAUCAGAGUCUCAGAACCGGAAACCUUGCUCUGGCUCCAAAGGUUCCGGGGACGAUGCAAACAAGUCCUGCGGCCAAAGGACAGGAAAGCCCUCCCGGAAUGUGCUGGUGAGGCUGAGUGGGUCCCAGUCCAGUGAGCAGUCUGAGCCCCCUUCUGAAGGGAAAACAUCCUCUGAGUCCAGUGCUUCCCUUCUGCCUGCUCAGGCCAGGAGGACACGGGGCAGAGCCAGCCCUGCCGGGUGCAGGUUCAUCUCUGACACCGAGCCCGAGAGCAGGAAGGAGGAAGCUCACAGCGAGGACAGCGACGCCAGAGUGCCCCUGAAAAAAACAAGCCAUGGAGUCUCCAACAGUGCCAGGCCUUCAGCAGCAAAACCCACAGAGGCAAAGGGGCAGAAAUCUCUGGAACUUUUUACAAGGGCGGGUGAUGGUUGGUCUGAGAAGGAAUUACAGAAGCUUUACAAGGCCAUCGCGGCCUUCCCGAAGCACAGGAGCGGCUUCUGGCAGGAGGUGGCCAUGGCCGUGGGGUCCCGCUCGGCCGAGGAGUGCCAGGGCAAGUACCUGGAGGAGCAGCAGGGGAAAGGCUCCAAACAGCAGCCCAGGAAAACCACGUCGGGAAAAUCUGAGAAGAAAGAUGAGAAGGAGCCAGAGAUCACUGCCAAGGUGGGCACCCUCAAACGGAAGCAGCAGAUGAGGGAGUUCCUGGAGCACCUGCCCAAGGACAACCACGACGACGUUUUCACCGCGACGCCCUUCCAGAAGAGGAUGGUCCAGCUGCCAGCGCUGCGAGGGAGCCAGGACGGGGACACCGAGGAUUUCGCCCUCUCAGAGUUCCCACUCACCCCUUCCUCAGGCCUCUUUCCCCCUGUGAAAACUCCACAGUGUGAGCACAUCAGCCCGGGAAUGCUGGUCCCCAUCAACAGGAAUGACUACGACCGGCACGUGUUCCGCAUGCAGAAGAACAUGCAGGGCAACAGAGGCACCUGGGACACGGUCAAGAAGCCGGUAAUGCUGCUUUCCUUGGACUCUGCCCACUGCCACCUGAGCCAGGCACAAUCCUGGGAUCACAGCCCCCCGUGUGCUCUGCAUGGAAAAUGGGAACCCUGCCUGCCUUUGGUAGCUGCUGCUGUGGAGAGAAGUUCCUUUGUGAGAAGGGAGCUCUUCAUUGUCAGGAUUAACUCCGUUGCUUUUAGUCAGGGUUUGGAAUUGCUGUGGAAUUCCGUGGUCUUUAGGUUCUUGUUAAAUUCUUCUGAACAGUGGGAAAAGGAACAAUACCCACAGGAUAUCCUGAGGUAUCCACAAGGAUCACCCAGUCUGACUCCUAGCAGUGACCAUAGGUGAACCUUGUAUCCCUGAAUGAGGUAUUGAUUCCUCCACUGCCAGGCUCUGCAGCUCCUUUGGCUUUUCCAUAAAACCCUGUGAUCCUGGGAGCAGCUUGUGCCUGUGGUUCAGGGAAUGCAGUUGUGGAAAUUCUGGGAAAUGGGGACCCGGAGCUGGUGCCAGCCCUGGCUGAGCCUCUUUCCUUCCCUCCCUCAGGCCAGACCCGUGCUCGAGACACCGCCUUCCUGCAGAACCAAGAGAGUGACCCCAGCCCCGCUGGUGGGGAAGCUCUUCGCAGCUGAGACUCCAGACGUGUCCAGUGAGGAGGAGAAGGAUUCCUACUUUUCCAUGUGAUGGCCUUU